rnacentral:rRNA from 1 species
UCCUACGGGAGGCAGCAGUGGGGAAUAUUGCGCAAUGGAGGAAACUCUGACGCAGCAACGCCGCGUGAAGGAAGAAGGCUUUCGGGUUGUAAACUUCUUUGAUCGGGGACGAAACAGACGGUACCCGAGGAACAAGCCACGGCUAACUACGUGCCAGCAGCCGCGGUAAUACGUAGGUGGCAAGCGUUGUCCGGAAUUACUGGGUGUAAAGGGCGUGUAGGCGGGAAAGAAAGUCAGAAGUGAAAUCCCAUGGCUUAACUGUGGAGCUGCUUCUGAAACUUCUUUUCUUGAGUGCUGGAGAGGAAAGUGGAAUUCCAAGUGUAGCGGUGAAAUGCGUAGAGAUUUGGAGGAACACCAGUGGCGAAGGCGGCUUUCUGGACAGUAACUGACGCUGAGGCGCGAAAGCGUGGGGAGCAAACAGGAUUAGAUACCCCGGUAGG